rnacentral:ncRNA from 1 species
CUAAAUACGAUGAAAGAGACAGUUUAUAGUAAGAUGUUUGUAGAGAGCUGAUGGAUGGUGAAAAUCAGUAACUAUUAUUAUAAUGGAUCACUCUGGAGUAGCACCUUGAAAUUAGUAGGGGUUGCCGUUAAUCGCGUUAAGAUGUUUGAGUGCGUAUUGGAAAAUACGAAUUAAGGUGGUACCGCGAAUUAUUCGUCCUUUUA